CCUACGGGAGGCUGCAGUGGGGAAUAUUGGACAAUGGGCGAAAGCCUGAUCCAGCCAUGCCGCGUGUGUGAAGAAGGCCUUCGGGUUGUAAAGCACUUUCAGUGGGGAAGAAAGCCUUUGGGCUAAUACCCUCGAGGAAGGACAUCACCCACAGAAGAAGCACCGGCUAACUCCGUGCCAGCAGCCGCGGUAAUACGGAGGGUGCGAGCGUUAAUCGGAAUUACUGGGCGUAAAGCGCGCGUAGGCGGUCUGAUAAGCCGGUUGUGAAAGCCCCGGGCUCAACCUGGGAACGGCAUCCGGAACUGUCAGGCUAGAGUGCAGGAGAGGAAGGUAGAAUUCCCGGUGUAGCGGUGAAAUGCGUAGAGAUCUGGAGGAAUACCAGUGGCGAAGGCGGCCUUCUGGACUGAAACUGACGCUGAGGUGCGAAAGCGUGGGUAGCAAACAGGAUUAGAUACCCCGGUAGUC
rnacentral:rRNA from 1 species